UACAACUUUCAGCAACGGAUCUCUUGGCUCUCGCAUCGAUGAAGAACGCAGCGAAAUGCGAUAAGUAAUGUGAAUUGCAGAAUUCAGUGAAUCAUCGAAUCUUUGAACGCACCUUGCGCUCCUUGGUAUUCCGAGGAGCAUGCCUGUUUGAGUGUCAUUAAAUUCUCAACUUC
rnacentral:rRNA from 4 species